AAAAAAGGUUUACAUAAUUAUUCUAAGCUGGGAGCUGCCAUCUCUGAACUAGGUACACAGCUAUCCCUGCCAAUCCUGUUUGAGUAUUUCCAGGCUCUUUGCAGACAUUUCUACCUGUUCAUCCUGUUGUCUUGAAUGUAGUGAAGAGAAAAGCUUGCAGGAAUAAUACAAAAUGUUUUGCUUUUUGCAGGUGGCUAAGAUGUUCAAGUCGCAGAGUGAUUCAGACCAACACUAACAAAUUCCCCAAAGGGUGGAAGUUUUAGUUGAGAAAAAUGGAAAUCUUGCACAAGAGAGACACAAUGUAUGGCCUCUCAUGUCUUCUCAUGUGACUGCUUUGAACUGGAAAGGAAAGGACUGAAUAGAUAGGUGGCCCUGAGGAGUUUCUUAUAUUUAUUUAAAUGAAUGAGUAAUUAAGUCCUUGAAUCUUGUGCCAACUGACUUUCUGCUAAAUCUUAUCUUACUAUUGGCAAAGUGUUGCGUUUCAGCUAACCAUGCAAACGGGUUGUUCUUUUCUUUCCAGAGUACAGCCACUUUAAUUUGUGAUUGCCUAGCAUUUCUUUAGUACCUAUUUGGUCCUUCUGAAUAAAUAUUCUCUGUGUGGAUUAAUGCAGUAGGCAGAAGUUACUCAUAUCACUUCUGCUCCUCAGGGGAAAGGAAACUGUUACUUGUUUCACAAGUAGAAUGACUCUGACUGCUUAGCUUUUAUUUUAAAUAGCAGUCUUUUCUUCUCCAGUUUGUUUGCUUUCACUAUGGAAAUGCUUCCUUUUAAGUUUGUGCUUAUGAAUUAUUCAACCAGAUGAUAUUUACCUUCCUUAGAAGGUUGUUCCAUAAAUUUUUGUUGUUUUGCAAGGGGUAUAUCUGCACAGCAGCCCUAAUAGAGCUUAUACAAAUAUACUGACGUAGUUUGGGCUUUGCCAGCUGUAUAGCUGUGGAAGGGACUGCAGCCUACAGAAACUGCUUAAGACAUAAAUAAAUGUUUGUUUAAUGACCCCUUGCCUACUACAACUACUCUGCUAGCUGAAUCUGGGGUGCAAUUAAGGAUGUCUGGCCUGCAGUCACGGAGGUGCUUGCCCAGUUGACGUAGUAAGUAGCCCUUCAUAGAUGGGUAGGUGUUGGUCAUUGUUGUGACCACAUAAUUAACUGUAAUCUACUAUACUUAUGUAAGCAGAAAGAGCAUUAACAUAGGUUUUAAAAGAUUUUGCAAUAGCUUUCGUACUUUAUUUUAUUUUCAGAUUGCAUCUCAAAUGGCAUGAAGAUGAGAAUUAAUUAAGGAUGCUGCAACCCUAAUAUUUUUAAGGGGCAAAAACUGCACUAAUUAAUGCUAGAAAAUCAAACCGUCCUACAAGUGCUAGGUCUUUUGUCUUUAGUAAUGGCUUCUAGUGCAAAGAGUAUCUAAUUGCUUAUAUACAAUGAAUAUUUUUUUCUGUGGAUUAUUGAAAACUUAGCUUGCUGUAGCUGAUUUUUGCCUAUCUUUGUAACAUAUAUAUGAGAUAAUUUUGGAAAAUCUCUGCCAAGCGGGAUAAGUAAUUUGCUGAUGGAGCAAAUGAUGGAAAGAUUGGCUCGAGAGGUAGCCUUUAUAUUGUCUUCUAUCAUCAGUUUUAUUGCUAAGUAUAGUGCAUAUUUAAAAUGAGCAUACACAACUUUUAAGGUACUUCAUUUGGGUAAACGUUCAAUUUUUUAACUUUGUGGAAAAAAAAGAAGUCACUUGAUUUGAUUUGGCUCUAUUAUAUUUAGGAGAAUCAAAUCUCCUUGCAACUGAUAAUGUAUAAAAACAACAUUAAGUUUCUAAGUGAUAAUAUUUAUUGGAGAAUGGUAAUUAUUCACUGGGAGGGUAUCCCAAAUGAUUCCACAUUUUUGAGAAGGGGAAGAAAAAAAGAAAAAGGAACUUUAUUUCUCCAGUGAAAAACAAUUCAGACCAAGCAGUGGCCAGCAAGACCCUUCAUGUUGGCUCUGGAUGUUGCUUUUAUCUUCUAGCUUUAAAAAUCUUUCGUUUUUCAAGCACUAGUAAUUUAGGUGAUUGGCCAUCUUUUUCCACAGAAUUUUCUUUUUUUUUUUCAACAAACUUCACAUUCUUAAAGCAGAAGUCUAAAGGAGAAAUCAGAGUGUAAUUGGAAUGCUGUGCUGUAUUCUCUUUCCUGUGACUCUGUGUCCAUGUAGGCCAUCAGCUGCACCCUCAGUAUUAAUGCUGAUAAGAGCAGAGACACCAGGGGUGCAAAAUAUUUUUGUACCAAACAGAAUCCCUAAAUCAGAUAUGAAUACAGUCUCAAGUCUCUGGUAACCUUUGGUUCUGCAUGGGGCAUCUUUAGCUCAUCUUGUAGACAGACAGAUUGAAAAGGAGUCUUAAACUAAGGAGUGUGUUACAGCUAGGCCAGAAAUACUGCCUGAGGAACAUGUGGUUAUGUAUUUAUUGUGCAAGGAGUCAUCUGUGUGUGCAGCUACUCGAGACCCACAAGCCCAUGAGGAUGAAGGAACUGCAACUGUUGCUGAAUGAUGCUUGUUUCCACAGUUGAAGUGAUAAUAAGUAGAUGAGAGAAUAGAUGUUUCUGGUAUAACUGAGAAUCUGAAUAUCUGUUUCAUUCUUGUACUGUGUGCAGGAGGUACAGCAAUUGGCAAGUAUGUGAAUAAAACAGCACUGUUGCUUAGACAGUUAUUUCUCCAAUAUGCCUGAUUUUUUUUCGUUUAUAAACCUAGUGCCAUUUAUGGAGGAGAUGACCUAAGGAGCAGAAGCUUGCAGAUCUUACAACCUUCUGCACUGUGACUUGGCAGCUGGAGUGGAACUGCAAAUUCAGGUGAGGACUCAGUCAUGCUGCGGGUCAUGUUGACAAAGUCCUAGCAUCAGCCUUAUAUUUUGACUGGUGCUCAUCAUACACAAGAGAUGCCCAUCCCCCUGUGACAGCAGUUACCCAGUCCUCAAGCAUGUCACAGACUGGAUAUCCAUCCUUCCUCAGGUAAAGCCCAGACCACCCCUGUGCACAGCUGGCUUUGCUGUGCUAUUGGGAAGGGACUGAAUUUUGUUUGGUGGAAGAAGGGGAUGCCAGUGGUAAGAAUUCUUUCUGUGGUGCUGCCUGCCAGGAAGCAAGGCAGAAGUCGGGAAAGGCUCUAUAAACAUUUCUGCAGUCACUCAAAGGCAGUUAGUAUUUUGGUUGAUUUGUUUUUCCUGGUGUGUAUGAGACUGCUCUCCUCUGUGCAGGUGUCUCAUUUCUGUGAAGCUUCCUUUUCCUUUCUUUUCCUACUUGUUUCCUGAUUCUGCAAUUGUUGCUUGCACUUGUAGUACUUUUACUCAGCCCCACACUCCCCCUGAAUGCAAUUAGGCUAUUUGUGCAAAUGCUUUUUGUCAUGUACGUGGUCUGCAGAAUCGGACCUUUUGCUUCUUCCUUCUCCUUCCAACCUGUCCCUCCCAAGCUUCCUUUCUCAUUGUUUUUCCUUUCACUUAUGUCUGCCUGUGUUAAAGCGAGCUGGCUGAGAAGGAAGUGGGGGAGGGCUGUUCUGCAAGGGGUUUGAUGAAAACAGCUGCACAACUUACAGUUGUCUGGAGCAGAUGAGGCUCUCAGACUGAGAGGUAACUUUUAGAGACAAACUCCAGCAAGAGACAUCCAUGCUUCCCUGGUGUGCAUCCUCACCAAUGUAUAAACGUGCCUGUCAGUAUACUGAUAACAGAAAGUAGAUUAGUAAGUGUGGGUGUCAUGCUAGGAGACUGAGUUUCGUGAGAAAUGUAGGCUACUGAAGGGAAGAAUCUCAGGGCUGGAAGCUGGUCACGUGAAAGGAAAGAAGCCAUGAAUUCAGAAAAGAGAAGCGUUACAAAACUGAGAAUGAAGAUUUUAAUUAAGUGAAUGAAAACAGCUUUGCUAGAGGCUUUUCAGUUGUUCUUUGUUUGAAGCAAAUGGUCUGUCUUGGAGCAAAAGUACCUCUGCUGGAUGUUCUUCUGGUUACACAGUGUUGUGUGGUGAUGGGUCUCAACACUCCUGUGAGCCUUCUAUUCAGAAUUAAGCAGAAAAGUGGGAGGUAGCUUUAUCUAGAUGCACACAAUAUGUAAACUGAAUGAAUAAUAAUAUGAAUAAUGAAUAAUAUGUGAAAUGAAUGAAAGCGUGAACUAGAUAGAAUGUUAUUCCUGUAACAGGACCAACUCAUCAGCAUUACAACACUAUAAAAAACAAACAAACAAAAAAAAAACCUAUACUCUUUCUCAAACUAGGUAUAAAAUGGAGUUUGUAAUCAUAAAGGUGCCUCAUCUCAUGCACACUCUGUUCCCUACAAAUUCCCUUGUAUAUGUCUGAACUGCCUCAGUCUUUGUUAGAUAAUGCCAGAAUGGGGGACUUUUGUCUGAACCCCAAAGUGUUGCUUUCCUGGUCUCCGUUCACCCUUUUGAUAUCAUUCCCAUCAGCUUUCACCAAAAGCCUUUGCUCUCAGUUGUAGGCAGUGCAAGUUAGAAGUACUGCUGAGGGUUCUUCAUCCAAAGUAUAAUUUUGUCUGGGAAUUACUAAAAGGCAGUAAAAGUGGAAGCAUAAUGUGCCUUUUUCAGAGUCCCCUCUCAAUGACUGUCAUUUGAGGAAUGAGGAUGUUGAAUUUUCCAUGUUGCACAAGUUAUGGCAGCUGUUCCAUAUUGCUAGAUUGGAAAUUAAAAUGGAGAUCUAUUCAAAUUGUCUGACACUUCCAGCAAGCUUGAAAGCAAUGCUUUAAAAUAAAACAGAGCUCUAAUUUGAGUCCUGAAAGGCAGUCAGUAACGUUGAAAGCAACCUUCUUACUUUUUCCAAAUGGUUUUGAAAUACUUUGUGUCUUUUCCUCUCCCUUGCUCAAUUCUGCUUUCCACAGCAGCCAUGUGAUACAACUGAAGUACAGGGGAGUCCUGUGGAUGUCCAAAUGCAAGGCUAGAACAUUUCAGUAGGUCUGGUCUGUUAUGACAGUAAAUAUUUUCAAGAAUGCUUAAGUUUGCUGACCUUUAAAAAAGAAUGGUUCACAUUUCUAUUUUCUUCCUUCAUAAUGGUGUAUUGCCUGAAUCAUCUCAGUAGUUUCUUCAUCUAAAGAUAGGACUGGAUUUAUCUAUCUCUGCAGACAGUAACGCAAUCUCCUAGUUUAGGAAUUUGGAGAGGCCAGGCUUUGCCAGUCACACAGUCAUGUCUGAUUUUUGAUUCUAGUGCCUCUGCUUCACUAGCACUGACUUCAUAAAGGGUAGAAAAACUCAUCUCCUAAGAAGUGAAAUUACUUGAAAACACACAUAAUUCCAGAGCGGUGCUUCAGAACUCAAAGCAGAGUUUAGCCAGCUUAAUUUGUUGCAGAAAAUAUUAUUUAAUACUAUUAAUAUUUGUAUAUGGUUGUUAUUAUUCCAAAGAAGGAGUGCACUGUUGGCAUCUCUUAGCAUUUGCUUUAUUGUCCUUGAACAUGUCAGUUCAUCAUUCAUACUGAGAAUUAAUAGCUGUGGUAAAUGUAGCAUUGUGAUCUCUUCAGGAAACACUUGAUGAGGCUUUAUAAGGGCACUCCAUGAAAAACAGACGAAAGUAGUCUGUAUUUUCCUUUGUGGAUGAAAUUCACCUGCCCAGAGCACAAAUAAAUGACCGACUCCUGUUAGCACAACUGCAGUUCUGCUGUAUCUGUUCAGUUCUGCUUCCCACACAUCCUGUCAUGACGAAGAUACUCUCUUCAAAAAUGCCAUUUGCUUUUUCAGGGUGGCAGUGGAAGCUAUUAAGGGCUCAAUGGGUGCUGGAAAACCAAUGUGCUAUUGAUUUAUCUGUCCUCUGAAUGAACUCUAGGUUUAAAAAAAAAAGAAAAAAGUAUUUCCCAAAUUUUGGAUGAAAGACCUUGUGUACAAAUAAAGGCAGGAUGCAUGCUCUCUGGGAUGAUGUGACUACAUAAAUAAGCAGUUCUUCAGCGCAGCAUGUGGUUUUCUAAUUUUCAGUACAACUGAAUGAAUCACAUAUGACAGCACCAUUGCCACUAACCAGUGUGGCAUGGCAUCUGAGAAAGAUAGUGCUGGAAGGGUGUGAACUGGAGAGCAGAUGAUGGGGUUUGAAACAUCUUGUUUGCUUUGGCAGGAUAACCAAAAUCUUGAUGCUUUCCCACAAUCUGUUCUAAGGAUGUAGGUUUUGCUGUGCUGUAUCAGAUUAUUACUCUGGGAAUCUGUGUGUCCUGCCUUUGCCAGUGGACAGCCUUUGAUGCUUCAGAUAAAGAUAAAUGCCCAGACUCCCCACAGGGGAAUUCCAAAGUUAGAUGAUGUUUCUUCAAGUGGGGUUUACAUUACUGCAGAAUUACCAGGGGACCAGGGGAGAUUUUCUCUCUCCCAUACCAAAUCAUAAAGGAUAUAUCUACUCAGUCAGGCAAACAAAGGUCCAAGGCUGCUCAGGUUCAGGCUCACAUACCAUACAUACUAUUUAUAUGUAAGUACAUGCUCUGCUAUGAGCCUUAGGUCAAGUGCACUCCAAAGGGAUGUCCUAGCCUUAGCAACAUCCUAGCCCAGCUCCAAGCUUUGUCACCCCAGAGGUGAGACUAGGCUGGAACUGGGUGCACUGCAGCCCCCAGGAGCAGCUCCGGUGGUUUCCCUGUUCCCUGAGCACCACAUGAGCCAUGUGAACCCCAGUCAGGUGAGAACCAGUGUUGUGGCAUAUGGGCUGUGGCCUCUGACCAGCUGGAGCACUCUCUAUGUUAUUGAGGCAGCAGCAGUUCUCAGAGAUCAUCUAAAGCUGAGCAGACAGCUGUCCUUUGACCUCCAUACCAGAGCUCUGUUUCUGUCCCUUCUUGGCAGUGCAGCUUCACAGCAGCAGCAGAACUCCCUGUGCCAACAGCUGCUUAACCCUAGCUCUGAGAUGAUGCAUCUCAAAAGGUGGGGGCCUAAAUUAAGGAGAUUAAAAAGAAAGAAAACCAUCUCCCUUCUCUUUAUGUCUUCUCUCAUGCCUUCAGCCUUGGGAGUCAAAUCUUCUGAUGCUAAUACAGAAGAAAAACUGAAACUUCUUGUUCAGGAUGUCUACAUGCUAAAGGCAAGUGGGAGGAGGAUACAAGGAGAUUUUUUUUUUUUCUCCUCCUGACAUCCCCAAACACAGUACUUCCAAGUACCAUAUUUAUACAAAGCUAAUGAUGAUGUGCUAGGUAUCCAGCAGUAUAUUUUCAUGGCGUUAUGUUGUUCCUCCAUCAGUAAACUCUGUACUCAGAGCUCAGUAAUAACAGCAGUGCAAGCUGCAGUUCCAUGCCUUGUGACUGGAGAUUGGCUGUGACAGAAACGCCUGUCGUCCUGGCAGUGUCUCGCAUCUGAUGGAGGCAGAAGGGUAUGUGAAACAAUGGCUCUGCCAGCAGAUGUGGUUCUGUAGGGACAGUAGUGUCUGUGGUACGAAAGUUCCCUCCCGAAAUACAGAUCUGUGGGAACAGUGAGUGUCUGUAUCAGUGACAACUUUGCAGCAUCUGCUGGGACAGUAAUGUCUGUGAUACUUAAAUGUAUCUCUGCAUCUGCUGGGUCAGUCAGAGAGAGAUGUAUUGUACAUGUCCAGUCUUAGAUGUGAAAAUCGCCUUCACUUUCUUUUAAUCUGAGGAAUUUGUUUGAUUUUUUCCCACAGAGCGAAUAAGAACCAUUUGAUGCAUGAAGAGCUAAAAGUAUUUGUAAGUCUUUUCCAUGUAGGAGAGGCAUUGCCACAUUGCAGCUGCCAAGAAAUACUGCCACAUUUUCUCCUAUCGUAGUAUUAAUCAUUAAUGGUUUUGUCCUCAAUGAACAGCCUGAGUAUUUUCAAUGAUGCUCUUAUGAGUGCUAAUGCUUUGUGGUUGCAGUGAGAGCAUCGCAUGAGAAAUCUGUUUGUUUAGAGCAGAGAUGCGCCACAACCACAGCAUUCUCAGACCUGGUUUCAAACAGUUCUACAGACAGGUGUAUGCAGAUAAAGAUUUUUUAUUUGGGCCCAUGUCUAGUUUAGCACCAGACUCAUGUUAGGCAGGAUUGUGCUGGAGAUGGUCAGUUUUCCCACAGAAGCAAUUCCAUUUGGAUGUCAGGGUAUCUCGCUACAACAAAGGCUGAUGUGGGCUUUUUUUCUUGAGCAGAAGCAGAUGCAAAAGGUUCUCCCUCAAGGUUAUCCAUUAUACAGGGUAUUGUCUAGAUGUUUAAACACCGUGCUUCAUACAGAGACAGAAAUGAAUGAUGAUUAAUACUUAUCAAUUAAAAUCUAAUCCUAGCCCGUGUGUAUUUAUAUGCUGAACUUUCACCUACAAGCAAUUCUGUGACAAGAAGUAGAUCUCCUUUUACUGGAGAGCACUGGAAUUAUGGUCAGGGCCAUAAUAUUCACUCAUUUAUUAUGAGUACUGCAUUUCUGCCUAGAGUUUGACGAGACAUUUUGCAUAUUUAUGGUCUCUUACAAGGGAGUUUAUAAACAAUUAGCAUUAAAGGACAAUUGUGUUAUCCUUCUGAUAACAGCACUAAGACUGGGGGGAGGGGAAGCAAAGGCUACGUGUUUUAUGACUGUAAUUUUAAUUAACUAUUUCAGAGAUUGAAAGUAAAUUAAAAUAUAAUUUACUAUUUCCUAGAUUAAAACUGAUUGAAAAAACCCUCGGUUAUGAGCUAUCUCAGAUCUAUGCAUCAUCUAGCUCAGUCUAAACAUACAGAUGUAAAUCCUUUUUUUAAUCUAUCUAUUGCUUAAUAGCCUGGACCCAGCACUGUGACGGGUAUGUUAUAGAUAUGAGAUGCCAGCACUGCAUCACCCACUGAGCGCCAGCCCAAGGGCCCUGGUAACAAAGAGCUCCAAUCCCGCUCAGCGCAGUGCUGCACUGAGAGCUGCGCACAGAGCAGCCGGGAGGCCGGCCCUGCUGCAUCAUGUGAGAGCAGGGGGAAGGCAGGAUGGAUUUUCAGAUUUGAACUCUGGUCGGCACUAUUGCUGAACACCGUUUAACUGGCUACGCAGUGCGAUAACCUUUGUUCUUAACAGAGAGGCAGAAUGGAGCACUAAGUGAAGGAGGCCACUUAGACACCGAGUGGAGAGCUUUAAAAUGGGCAGCUGUUCUAGAUGGUUACUUCUGAUUUAUUAUAAAGGCAUCUGUAGGCGUUGUGAAUUGCCUUCCAUCAGUCGUGUUAAACAAGACUGCAUUCUUAUAAGGCAGUUUAUCCCCUGCACACAGCCACGCUCUGAUCACUGCUGUCAAAUGCAUAGCAAAUGCAUGUGAAGAAAGCAGAGCACGUGAUGACUAUUACAAAAAUCUUUUUCGUUUUAAUAUACCGGAAAGAAACAUUUUAGUAAAGCCACUAGCAACUAGCAGAACUUUACAGUAUCAAUGUUUUUCUGAGACCGAUUGUGACCUUUAAAGGUCUGAGACUUUCUGGAUUGGGCAAAAUUCUUUUCAUGAGUUGUCUCAGAAGAUCUUUGCUUUAUUUAAAAAAAAAAAAAAAAAAAGGCAGAUUAGUUUUGUAGUAGAGGUGUAGAGUUAUAGGGAUGAGAAUGCCUAUAGAGAAAACCAUCAGCACCAUCUCCCUGUUUGCAUUUCUUGACGUGACACUCACAGGGGAAAAGGGCACUUUGCAUCUUCCCCACCCCUGAGCUGCUUCCAACUCCCAGAUGUAUCACAAAGUUGCUCUCUAUUCCACCUCCUUUUUAUUUCUUGUAGUUUGUUAACGCAGCCACAGUGUUUGGAGAGUUCUGCUCAUCCCUUAGCAUGAAACACCAAAACGGAUGGAACAAGUAGUAGAAAAUAAUAGACAUUUUCAGCUGCAAUUCAGAUUCCGGAUGAAUUGUUUGUAAACAUCUCGUCUAGAAGUGUGAAGGGGCUGAGCUAGCAUCAUCAAAGAUGACAAAUUCUGACACGGCGCUCUGAGAUUUCAUGGCUAUUGAAUGUAGGUUAAUAUGGGAUUCAAUAGGAAAUCUGGCUUCUGUAUUGUUAAGUAUUACAGGAAACGAAGGAACUUGUCAGUUGUCUGCAGAUUGCUAAUUGCUGCUUGUUGCAGAGGCAAGAGUUUAAUUUGGGUGUGUUAUCACAGUAAUUGUGCACUGUCUUCGGGGGGAAAAAAACCAACUGUACUCCUAAUCUGAUUGAUAAUCUGGCCUGUGGGAUUUGGGGCAUUAUUUUGCAAGAUUAUGGUAAAUAAGGACUUCCCAGUAAGUGGUGUAACAGUAUGCAGUAGUGUCCUUUGGGGUGGGGACCUGGGAUAGAGUAGAGCGGCAAAUCUCUGGUAUGAAGAGAUUUCCUCGUCUCUUGAUUUAGUCAUUCCUGAGAUGCAUGCGAUUUAUUCUUUGUGAAGAUGCAUCAAAAAUGCAGAUCCCGUUUAUUCUAAAUGAAAAUUAUAUCCUAUUAUUAUUGUUAGUGCUUUGUAUUUCGAGUAGUAUCUAAAGGCCUGGGAUUAAUUCAUGACCUCUUCACGCUCAGAGCUGUGUAUACAUACAGUAAGCUCACUGCCCCAAAGACCUUACACUUUAAUUAAAUAAAGGUUGGAGGAAGGAAGUUUUAUUACCUCUGUCACAAAUGGGAAAUGAUAAAAGAGAGAAACUUAAAGGACUGAGAGUUGCACUCCUCCUGCAAUAAGUCCUGUAUUUGCCUGUAAUAUAUCCUCCCUUCCUGCUUUUGUUAACUUGCUGUUAAUUGGUAGCUGGUUGGUUUCUCCCCCAGAGAUGGACUUUACUAUAAUUCUGCAUAUUGUUCAAGGUUGUAUGGGAUGAAAAGGAUUAUAGACAGAUACUCUUUAAUUUGGAUCUGAUCUGAUUAAUUUGGAUUCUGAAGAAUUACUUCUAUGGAGUAAGUACAUUCACGUGAGUCUUGUGUGCAUUGCUUGUUGCCACCUGAGCAUGCUAGUGCAUAGACUGUGUUCCCAGGGCACCAUGCACUUGCUUUAUGAGUGUUUUAAUGUACAGCAGCCUAACUGUGCUAUUGUUCUUAUUCCAUGUAGUUUGCUCUCAAAUGUUUUCAAAAACGGUUAGGAAGAAAAGCAAUAGCCCUCAAGAUGUUGGACAAUUUCACAGGGUUCCUAGGAAGCUUAAAACACCUACGAGUGCACUCUUAGUCUGCUGGUCUGCUUCUUCCUUCUCAGAAAGCUUCUUCUAUAGAAGGGGCUAAAUUUAGUUUCAGAUAUUUUUAAUUAGUGCUUCCAGCUUAACAUUAAAAUAUAAAGCUAGAUCUGUUUGGAUCUUGCUUGAGAAUAACAUUUUCUUUGGAGAGGUACAUAAAUGUGAGGGUAACUUGUUUUCCUUUUGCUCAUCAGUCAGAAUGUGGAUGGUCUGUGUGGGGAACUGGGAUAGAAACCCAGUCACAGGUUUAGAUGUGAGGGGAAGCGGGGGAGAAGAAAGGAGAACGAAACAAAACAAGGAACGGGUAAAAUCCAAGUACGUCCCAACUGCUCUGCUCCUAUCUUUCAUUUUGGUGUCUUAGACGUCAACAAGAGCAAUCUUUUAUAUUGCCUCAAGGGUACAGUCUCCUCACUUCUGUCCUGUCCUGCUCCGUCUGCUAAAUGGGUACAGAUAUCUUCUGUCAGAUUCUGGGUUCCUGGAGUUAAAAGGACUCCAGAGAAGCAGAGUUAUCAUUUUUAUUUAACAAUAAGGAGCAUUAUCUCUAUUGCCGUUGAAGGUUAUGUCCAUCUGGUUUUUGUUUUAAAAAGAUGUUCAGUGCUCAGAAUAGUAACGUUUCAGGCUCCUUGAGCCUUUGUAAGUAAUAGAUCAUUCUCCCACACAGACACCAUCGCUGCUGGAAGUGUAAAUGUGCAAAGUAGGAAAUCUUUAAAAUAUGAAACUACAGAAUUUCCUCAGCAGAGGGGACGACCUCAGCACUUGGGAAAGGACACCCCUAGAGUAAAUGCCCUGCAUGGAAAACAAUCUGCUGGGGCUUUGUUACAAAGCAUGCAAACAUCCUGAGGAAGUAGCAGUCAUUGGCAAUAAACACUGCAUGUAAACGAGUA